GGCGGAUGUCAGCGGUUCGAGUCCGCUUACCUCCA
rnacentral:tRNA from 2 species